rnacentral:rRNA from 1 species
CCUACGGGAGGCAGCAGUGGGGAAUAUUGCACAAUGGGCGAAACCCUGAUCCAGCCACGCCGCGUGAGUGAAGAAGUAUCUCGGUAUGUUAAACUCUAUUUGUAGGGGAGAAAAUGACGGUACCCGUAUAAGAAUGACCGGCUAAUUACGUGCCAGCACCCGUGGCACUAUGUCGGCGGCAAGCGUAAUCCGGAUUUACUGGGUGUAAAGGGGGCGCAUGCGGGAGUGCAAGUGUGGAGUGAAAGCCCGGGGCUCAACCCCGGAACUGCUGUUGAAACUGUGCGGCUAGAGUACGGGAGGGGCAGGCGGAAUGCGUGGUGUAGCGGUGAAAUGCGUAGAUAUUAGGAAGAACACCGAUGGCGAAGGCAGCCUGCUGGGCAGUAACUGACGUUGAGGCACGAAAGCGUGGGGAGCAAACAGGAUUAGAUACCCCAGUAGUC